rnacentral:rRNA from 1 species
UACGUAGGGGGCUAGCGUUGUCCGGAAUCAUUGGGCGUAAAGCGCGUGUAGGCGGUCCGGUAAGUCCGCUGUGAAAGUCGGGGGCUCAACCCUCGAAUGCCGGUGGAUACUGUCGGGCUAGAGUGCGGAAGAGGCGAGUGGAAUUCCUGGUGUAGCGGUGAAAUGCGCAGAUAUCAGGAGGAACACCUAUUGCGAAGGCAGCUCGCUGGGACGUUACUGACGCUGAGGAGCGAAAGCGUGGGGAGCAAACAGG